rnacentral:misc_RNA from 1 species
GUGAAUCAUCAAAUUUUUGAACGCAAAUUGCACUCUCCGGUUUUCCGGGAGAGUAUGCCUGUUUGAGGGUCAGCCUAAAAAAAAUCGACAUUGUUGCUGUUAUUUAAUGGUGACUUUCGUCGGAGAUUGGGUUAUCUUAAACCUUUUUUUUUUGGGUUUAAGGGAUUUAAAUUUUUUUUUCAGGAUUCAUUGACGGUUUUAAGGUUUUUUUUUUUUUUAA